UGGCUCUCGCAUCGAUAAAGAACGCAGCGAAAUGCGAUAAGUAAUGUGAAUUGCAGAAUUCAGUGAAUCAUCGAAUCUUUGAACGCACCUUGCGCUCCUUGGUAUUCCGAGGAGCAUGCCUGUUUGAGUGUCGUGAAAUUCCCAACCUAUAAAUCUUUGUGGUUUGUAGGCUUGGACUUGGAGGCUUUUGCUGGCUUUACAGUCGGCUCCUCUCAAAAGUACUAGCUUGAUUCCUUGCGGAUCGGCUUUCGGUGUGAUAAUUGUCUACGCCGUAGUCGUGAAGCGUUUGGCGGGCUUAUAACUGUCUCUUUGAGACACUUUUUUGACAUCUGACCUCAAAUCAGGUAGGACUACCCGCUGA
rnacentral:misc_RNA from 1 species